CCCUGGCUCAGGACGAACGCUGGCGGCGUGCCUAAUACAUGCAAGUCGAGCGGAAUGAUGAAGAAGCUUGCUUCUUCUGAUUUUAGCGGCGGACGGGUGAGUAACACGUGGGCAACCUACCUUGUAGAUUGGGAUAACUCCGGGAAACCGGGGCUAAUACCGAAUAAUCCAUUUUGCUUCAUGGCAAGAUGUUGAAAGGCGGCUUCGGCUGUCACUACGAGAUGGGCCCGCGGCGUAUUAGCUAGUUGGUAGGGUAAUGGCCUACCAAGGCGACGAUACGUAGCCGACCUGAGAGGGUGAUCGGCCACACUGGGACUGAGACACGGCCCAGACUCCUACGGGAGGCAGCAGUAGGGAAUCUUCCACAAUGGACGAAAGUCUGAUGGAGCAACGCCGCGUGAGUGAAGAAGGUUUUCGGAUCGUAAAACUCUGUUGUAAGGGAAGAACACGUACGAGAGUAACUGCUCGUACCUUGACGGUACCUUAUAGAAAGCCACGGCUAACUA
rnacentral:rRNA from 1 species